CAGUAGCCGCGGUAAUACGUAGGUGGCAAGCGUUGUCCGGAAUUAUUGGGCGUAAAGGGCUCGCAGGCGGUUUCUUAAGUCUGAUGUGAAAGCCCCCGGCUCAACCGGGGAGGGUCAUUGGAAACUGGGAAACUUGGGUGCAGAAGAGGAGAGUGGAAUUCCACGUGUAGCGGUGAAAUGCGUAGAGAUGUGGAGGAACACCAGUGGCGAAGGCGACUCUCUGGUCUGUAACUGACGCUGAGGAGCGAAAGCGUGGGGAGCGAACAGGAUUAGAUACCCCAGUAGUCCCUGUCUCUUAUAC
rnacentral:rRNA from 1 species